rnacentral:lncRNA from 1 species
CUAAACAUUCAGGCCCUGCUUCCUCCUCAUGAAUCUGCAGCCACCCUGCUCUGCAGCAUGAUGUGGGCGAGAAUGUGGCCUUUCUGCCUGCUUUAUCCCUCAGCUAUGCAGCAAUGAUGAUUACAACUAAAAAAAUAAUGCAAAGAUGCCAUGGUGCUGGACACAUAGAUGUCCUCCCUGCAUGUUUUGAACAAAUAAGGUCAUGAAUGCAGUUUGCUGACAUUACUUUUGACACCUACUCUCCUGUAACGGAAGCACUAAGUUUUGUGGAGGAUUCCGAAGGUUGUGCUACGAAACACCUGCCUACAGCGCCUGGCGACCUGGCCGGAGGAAACAAGAUUAAAGGAGACACAGUUAAGAGUGAAGGAGGUUGUGAGUGCAUGAAAACUUCUGCUCAGGAGUGCUAGCUCUGACCUGGAGCCACGUAGACUUUCUUCUUCCUCCGGGAGGUCAGUUCUUCAAAGCGCCAACAGCUGAUCUCAUGUCUUCCUGGCUUCUUCUCCCCAAACUCCUUUCAAACGUUUGUGCAAUGACUCUGUGCUUUUUUCAGACCACCAAGCCCACGGGAGCAAGAGGUGAGCAAUCGUCCACGGCUGCUUGCUUUGGGCUCCCCGCUACGCCACGAGACAGCGCUAGAUGGCGCUAUAGUCAAGGCCCCAUAGGGUGCUCUAGGAAUUUGGGACUAUAGGACAUUGCCCACUCCUCCAGCACCAUCAUGCAUCAUCGUCCUGAUUUCCUCAGUGAUCACUGUAAGUCCAAAUGCAGCUCCUGGAAUGAUUCACAAUCACUCCAUUCUGCUCUGCGUGUGAUGAGGACGCCAGUGUUUCACGGUCCACUGCCCUGUCUUCUCUCGAGGACAGCAAAGCGGUUUUCCUUUGAAGAACCACUCCCCUACUUGCCAACGUGCUUCUUGUGGGUCCUGCCUACCACGGGUGCCACUUAGAGAUGGGUCCCCGCUGGCCGCAGUGGCCGACUCAGCGUGCAAGGUCACCAGGCCGGCGCUGAGGACCCUGGAGCCGCUGCAUCGGGGCUGCCGCCUGAGAUUCCCGCUGAACCGGGGACAGCGGGGCACGGUGAGCAAGGAGAGGCUCAGGGAGCACCACGUGGGUCCCAGGUCCCGUCAGGAUGGAAGCUGCCGCCCACGGGCCUCCCCGUAGUGCCAGCAAGCAAAUCCUCCUCUCUUCUGCAUAGUCCGGUUUGAGUUUGGGUUUUGACAUCUGGACCUGAGAAUUAUAAUAUAAUCCCUAAGCUGACCCUACCUCCUGCCCCAUCCUGGGGGCAUUUCAUCGCACCCCCUUGGAGCACUUUCUGGGUGACCACUGCUGUCACCAUCUUGCCUGAGACACACGGUCCACCUCCUUUAGAUGGGCAAAACCUGGUUCCCUGCGACCCUCAGAAGAGCAUUUCCGAUUCUGUGGCCCCCACCAGUACUGUUCCCGUCAUGAAUACACGGGGUUCUUAGCAUUUGCUUAGGAUCAUUUAUAAUAAUGAUAUAUACACUCUGG